rnacentral:lncRNA from 13 species
UAUAACUUUUCCAGGUGAGUUGAACCUGCCUGUGGGUGCGGUGGGGAUAUUCCUGGGAGGUCUACUGAUGAAGAGGUAUAAGCUUGGCGUUGUGUCUGGAGCCCAGCUGUGGCCUACCUCCUCCUCCCUCUGCAGUCUGGCACUAAGUGUGACAACGUUCAGGUGGCUGGUCUGACCCUGUCCUACAACGGGUCCCCUGGUGUACGAUGACAGCCUGUUGUCAGAGUGUAACAGAGACUGCUUCUGCUUGGCUGGGGAGUGGGACCCUGAGUGUUCAGACAACGGCAUCACCUACACCUCCCCCUGCCUCGCAGGCUGCUCCAGCUCUACAGGUGAGUUGAACCUGCCUGUGGGUGCGGUGGGGAUAUUCCUGGGAGGUCUACUGAUGAAGAGGUAUAAGCUUGGCGUUGUGUCUGGAGCCCAGAUGUCUUUCGUCAUCUCCUUCAUGGCCUACCUCCUCCUCCCUCUGCAGUCUGGCACUAAGUGUGACAACGUUCAGGUGGCUGGUCUGACCCUGUCCUACAACGGGUCCCCUGGUUUACGAUGGCAGCCUGUUGUCAGAGUGUAACAGAGACUGCUUCUGCUUGGCUGGGGAGUGGGACCCUGUGUGUUCAGACAACGGCAUCACCUACACCUCCCCCUGCCUCGCAGGCUGCUCCAGCUCUACAGGUUAUGGCAAGAACACGGUACCAAUACUAUUAAUGUACUGAGUGUACAAAACAUUCACAGGGAUGCUGGCCCAUGUUGACUCCAAUGGCUCCCACAGUUCUGUCAAGUUGGCUUGUCUUUUGUCUCUCGUCUUUUGAGUGGUGGAUCAUUCUUGAUACACACGGAAAUCUAUUGAGCGUAUAAAACCCAGCAGCGUUACAGUUCUUGACACAAACUGGUACCACUGGCACCUACUAACAUGCCCCGUUGAAAGGCACGUAAAUAUUUUGUCUUGCCCAUUCACCCUCUGAAUGGCACACACACACAAUCCAUGUCUCAAUUGUCUCAAGCUUUACAAUAUAUUUUUAAACCUGUCUCCUCCUCUUUAUCUACACUGAUUUAAGUGUAUUUAACUAGUGACAUCCAUAAGGGAUUAUAUCUUUAACCUGGAUUCACCUGGUCAGCAUAUGUCAUGGAAAGAGCAGGUGUUCUUAAUGUUUUAUACACUCAGUGUAACUCAUGGCACUGACACUUACCACUGCAUAUACAUUCAGAGAGUCUAAUCUAGAGUCGGCUUUCUAUUUCACAACAAAGCCUCCUUCACUCACGCCGCCAAACUUACCCUAGUAAAACUGAUUAUCCUAUGAGAACUUGUCCUCAACUAGCCUACCUGGUUAAAUAAAGGUCAAAUAAAAAAAUCUGCCAUGCUGACCCUCAACACGGGGACCCCUCAGGGGUGCCUGCUUAGUCCCUUCCUGUACUCCAUGUUUACCUGUUGCUCCAACACCAUCAUUAAGUUUGCCAAUGACACGAAUGUGGUAGGGCCUGAUCACCAACCAUGACAGCCUAUAGGGAGGAAGUCAGAGACUUCAAAGAGAGUUUGGCAUUUUUCCUGGAGGGCCAAAAUGUAUAGUAAUCUUUGGCCAAACCAGGCACACUAGAGUUUAUGGAGCGAUAUGAUGUUGAAUCUGAAAUUCAGUUUAUGUUGGCACUAAUAUCACUCCAUAACAUUCUAGCUAUGUCUUGGUUAAUGCCUGGUUGGAAAAAAUGAAAAAGACUGUAGCUCCUAAAGACAUGAUGGGCCACCACUUGUGUACUGUAGAAGCACUAUAUGGUCCUGUAGCCUACUUUGUCACAUGUAAACAAGUUUAGGAUGCCAAAUGUUACCAAACAUCCUACGCUUCCACUAGUCCCAGUCAAACUUAUCUUGACCUUUAUCAACCCUACUGCAUAUGCCCUUUAGCUUUCAUUUCAAUUUCAUUUUAUUGUACUUUGUUUGGGACGGCACAAGACACUUUAAAAAUAAAAUUGUGUAUAUUUUUGGUCUAGUGUUCAAUUUUCUUCUCUAUUGCUCAAUACUGUAUGCUAUGCGCACACAGUUGUCUGUUGUAGAUCUGAAACCACUGACAGAGUAGGGGAGUAUCUGUGGCCACAUGAUAAAACACUAGUCUGGCAUCAGUAGUCUGAAAAUAGGAGGAAACCAGUUGGACAUGUACAUCAACAUAUGGCAGUUGACAUUAAUAUUGUCAAAAACUCAUCCUAGAUGUCUCACACUUUGAAUGAACUUGUGCCUUUGGCCAGGAUCCAAUUUUCCCACGGAGCUGGUGGGUAAAGGACCAUAUAAAAUCAUCAUUAUUCAUGUUUCAGUGGGAUUAUAGCAUAGUUGAAUUCCAUUUAAUUUCCAAUGAGUUUAAGAAAUUAAUGGAAAGCCAUGUACUGAUUGUAUUUGUAUGUUAUGAAUUGCAAAAUCCAGACAGUUGAGUAAUGACACGCAGUAUGACAUGAGCGAUACCAAAAACAUAGCUACUGCAGUCAGUUUACAACCAGAGAUUUUCUUUUUAAAAUUUGUUUAUUGCUUAAACACAAAUUUUAACAGCAUAAACCAAUACUGACCAAAUUAGAAAUUAAAGCAGUGGUAGGUUUUAUGGGGAAAACAUUCAAUCAAAUCACAUACACAUGGUUAGCAGAUGUUAAUGCGAGUGUAGCGAAAUGCUUGUGCUUCUAGUUCUGACCUUGCAGUAAUAUCUAACAAGUUAUCUAACAAUUUCACAACAACUACCUUAUACGCAAAGGAAUGAAUAAGAAUAUGUACAUAUAAAUAUAUGGAUGAGCGUUGGCCUAACGGCAUAGGCAAGAUGCAGGAGAUGGUAUAGAGUACAGUAUAUACAUAUGAGAUGAGUAAUGUAGGGUAUGUAAACAUUAUAUAAAGUGGCAUUGUUUAAAGUGACUAGUGAUGCAUUUAUUACAUCCUAUUUUUAAUUAUUAAAGUGGCUAGAGAUUGAGUCAGUAUGUUGGCAGCAGCCACUCAAUGUUAGUGAUGGCUGGUUAACAGUCUGAUGGCCUUGAGAUAGAAGCUGUUUUUCAGUCUCUCGGUCCCAGCUUUGAUGCACCUGUACUGACCUCGCCAUCUGGAUGAUAGCAGGGUGAACAGGCAGUGGCUCGGGUGGUUGUUGUCCUUGAUGGUCUUUUUUGCCUUCCUGUGACAUCAGGUGGUGUAAGUGUCCUGGAGGGCAGGUAGUUUUCCCCCGGUGAUGCGUUGUGCAGUUGCUGUACCAGGCGGUGAUUCAGCCUGACAGGAUGCUCUCGAUUGUGCAUCUGUAAAAGUUUGUGACUGUUUCUUCAGCCUCCUGAGGUUGAAAAGUCUCUGUUGUGCCUUCUUCACCAUGCGGUCUGUGUGGGUAGACCAUUUCCUUCACGUUUGGCCCUGUCCGGGGGUAUCAUCGGAUGGGGCCACAGUGUCUCCUGACCCCUCCUGUCUCAGCCUCCAGUAUUUAUGCUGCAGUAGUUUGUGUCGGGGGGCUAGGGUCAGUUUGUUAUAUCUGGAGUACUUCUCCUGUCUUGUCCAGUGUCCUGUGUGAAUUUAAGUAUGCUCUCUCUAAUUCUCUCUCUCGGAGGACCUGAGCCCUAGGACCAGGCCUCAGGACUACCUGGCAUGAUGACUCCUUGCUGUCCCCAGUCCACCUGGCCGUGCUGCUGCUCCAGUUUCAACUGUUCUGCCUGCGGCUAUGGAAUCCUGACCUGUUCACCGGACGUGCUACCUGUCCCAGACCUAUUAUUUGACCAUGCUGGUCAUUUAUGAACAUUUGAACAUCUUGGCCAUGUUCUGUUAUAAUCUCCACCCGGCACAGCAAGAAGAGGACUGGCCACCCCUCAUAGCCUGGUUCCUCUCUAUGUUUCUUCCUAGGUUUUGGCCAUUCUAGGGAGUUUAUCCUAGCCAACGUGCUUCAACACCUGCAUUGCUUGCUGUUUCGGGUUUUAGGCUGGGUUUCUGUACCGCACUUUGAGAUAUCAGCUGAUGUACGAAGGGUUAUAUAAAUACAUUUUAUUUGAUUUCAAUUUGUCCGUGAUGUGUAUGCAGAGGAAUUUAAAACUUUCCACUUCUCCACUACUGUCCUGUUAAUGUGGAUAGGGGGGUGCUCCCUCUGCAGUUUCCUGAAGUCCACGAUCAUCUCCUUUGUUUUGUUGACGUUGAGCGUGAGGUUAUUUUCCUGACACCACACUCCGAGGGUGUAGCAUAAGAACAGCUUCAUUGGCACAGUGGACAAUAACCUUGCACAAUGUUCUAAUCUAACAUUCUAAUCUAUAUCUGCUUAAUUUGUAAAUUAUGUCAGUGUUGGAGCCCCUGGCUAUCCAUAAAUGAAAAAAACAAGAAUAUGGUGCCGUCUGGUUUGCAUAUUAAUAUAAGGAAUUUGAAAUGAUUUAUAGGUUUAUAAGUAUAUUUUAUCCAAUUACAUUUUUGAUACUUAAGUAUAUUUAAAACCAAAUACUUUUAGACUAUUACUCUAGUAUUUUACUGGGUGACUUUAACUUGAGUAAAAGUAAAGAUACCUUAAUAGAAAAUGACUCUGUAUGUAUGACAAUUGGGUACUUAUUCCACCACUGCACUGGUUCUGUGUAUAAGCCAUUUAGCAAUAACUUUUACCCAAAGCGACUUAGCUACGAUCAUGCUUGCUUUGUCCCGUAAAGUAUUGUUCCUAGAGAUACUGAAUAUGCCGCAGUUAAGUGGAAACGUUCUUUUCGUUUGAGUUGGUUGAUCAAGGAGACGUACGGAAGCUUCUGCAAAGAGUCGACUGUAUCAACAAUAGUUUGUUGUGGGACGAAGCAAUGGCCAUGCACGUAUACAUUUUACAUAUGGGUGCUCCCAGGAAUCAAACCCAUAAUUCUUGCGUUGCAAGCACCAUGCUGUACCAACUGAGCUACAGGACCGCAGGCAACAAUAGCCAACGUUACGUUUCUCUCAAGAUUAGAAUACUUGUGUUGUAGCUACACAGUAACAUGUUAGCUAACGUGCUAGCCACAGUAGCUAGCCAGGGCUACAGUUUGCAUCCAUGCCAUACUUGUGACAUACAGUUAAUUCAGGUUUAGCUCAUGUCAGCUACAAUAGCUGGAAUCAUUUGUAAUAACUGUCUCUCUGAAGUUUAUUUUGCUGCCACCACGGUGAACGUCUUUCUGCCACCAUCUUUUCUCAUUUCAACUAUGACCCUUCGCCUCUGACCCAACAACACAUGACAUGUUUCUGUCCUCAUUUAUUCAAAACUGGUUCGUAGUUGCCCUCAAGCGUUCUUCUCAAAUUACUGCAUUUUUAAAAUAUAUUUUUUUAAUGAUUUAACCUUAACGAGGCAAGUAAGUUAAGAAUACGUUCUUAUUUACAAUGUUAUGUAUUGCUCAUCAUUGGUUUCGGCUGUUGUUUACUUAUUUAUUUGUUGUCUCAUCACAUUAUUGUACAAAAAAACGGAAACGUAGCUAAUACACCAGUAUUUAUUGUUUCGAGUGGUCUUUUUAGUGGUAUGGGGAUCCAGUAUUGCGUCGCUGAUUGUAUUGAUUGACAGAUCACCCCUGAAGUUGUUUUAUUACGUAAAAGUGCAUUCACAUUAUGACGUUGGCUGAG